rnacentral:rRNA from 1 species
GAUGAACGCUGGCGGUAUGCCUUACACAUGCAAGUCGUACGAGAGUUUUUAACUCAAGUGGCGGACGGGUGAGUAACACGUAAGAAUUUACCUCUAGGAGGGGGAUAACAACUGGAAACGGUUGCUAAUACCCCAUAUGCUUUCGAGUGAAAUGGUUUUCCGCCUAGAGAGAAGCUUGCGGCUGAUUAGCUUGUUGGUGAGGUAAUGGCUCACCAAGGCGACGAUCAGUAUCCGGUUUGAGAGGACGAUCAGACACACUGGAACUGAGACACGGUCCAGACUCCUACGGGAGGCAGCAGUGGGGGAAUUUUGGACAAUGGGCGAAAGCCUGAUCCAGCAAUACCGCGUGAGUGAUGAAGGCUUUAGGGUUGUAAACUCUUUCAGUAGGGAUGAUAAUGACGGUACCUACAGAAGAAGCACCGGCUAACUCCGUGCCAG